GAUGAACGCUGGCGGCGUGCCUAAUACAUGCAAGUCGAGCGAAUGGAUUAAGAGCUUGCUCUUGUGAAGUUAGCGGCGGACGGGUGAGUAACACGUGGGUAACCUGCCCAUAAGACUGGGAUAACUCCGGGAAACCGGGGCUAAUACCGGAUAACAUUUUGAACCGCGUGGUUCGAAAUUGAAAGGCGGCUUCGGCUGUCACUUAUGGAUGGACCCGCGUCGCAUUAGCUAGUUGGUGAGGUAACGGCUCACCAAGGCAACGAUGCGUAGCCGACCUGGGAGGGUGAUCGGCCACACUGGGACUGGGACACGGCCCAGACUCCUACGGGAGGCAGCAGUAGGGAAUCUUACGCAAUGGACGAAAGUCUGACGGAGCAACGCCGCGUGGGUGAUGAAGGCUUUCGGGUCGUAAAACUCUGUUGUUAGGGAAGAACAAGUGCUAGUUGAAUAAGCUGGCACCUUGACGGUACCUAACCAGAAAGCCACGGCUAACUACGUGCCAGCCGCCGCGGUAA
rnacentral:rRNA from 1 species